CGAGAGUUAGCAGAGAUGCUUUGGUGCCUUCGGGAACUCUGAGACAGGUGCUGCAUGGCUGUCGUCAGCUCGUGUUGUGAAAUGUUGGGUUAAGUCCCGCAACGAGCGCAACCCUUAUCCUUUGUUGCCAGCGGUUAGGCCGGGAACUCAAAGGAGACUGCCAGUGAUAAACUGGAGGAAGGUGGGGAUGACGUCAAGUCAUCAUGGCCCUUACGAGUAGGGCUACACACGUGCUACAAUGGCGCAUACAAAGAGAAGCGACCUCGCGAGAGCAAGCGGACCUCAUAAAGUGCGUCGUAGUCCGGAUUGGAGUCUGCAACUCGACUCCAUGAAGUCGGAAUCGCUAGUAAUCGUGGAUCAGAAUGCCACGGUGAAUACGUUCCCGGGUCUUGUACACACCGAA
rnacentral:rRNA from 1 species